GAUGAACGCUGGCGGCGUGCCUAAUACAUGCAAGUCGAGCGAACAGACGAGGAGCUUGCUCCUUUGACGUUAGCGGCGGACGGGUGCGUAACACGUAGUUAACCUACCUCUCAGACUGGGAUAACUUUGGGAAACCGGAGCUAAUACCGGAUAAUAUUUCGAACCGCAUGGUUCGAUAGUGAAAGAUGGCUUUGCUAUCACUUAUAGAUGGACCUGCGCCGUAUUAGCUAGUUGGUAAGGUAACGGCUUACCAAGGCAACGAUACGUAGCCGACCUGAGAGGGUGAUCGGCCACACUGGAACUGAGACACGGUCCAGACUCCUACGGGAGGCAGCAGUAGGGAAUCUUCCGCAAUGGGCGAAAGCCUGACGGAGCAACGCCGCGUGAGUGAUGAAGGUCUUCGGAUCGUAAAACUCUGUUAUUAGGGAAGAACAAACGUGUAAGUAACUGUGCACGUCUUGACGGUACCUAAUCAGAAAGCCACGGCUAACUACGUG
rnacentral:rRNA from 1 species